rnacentral:rRNA from 1 species
GGCGACCAUAGCAAGAGUGAACCACCUGAUCCCUUCCAGAACUCAGAAGUGAAACCUCUUAGCGCUGAUGGUAGUGUGGGAUUACCCAUGUGAGAGUAAGUCAUCGCCAGCU